CCAUCAACAAACGCCAAUCUACCGGCUGCCAAAGAUUGCCGUGUCGGCAAGGUCACGCUUAUUUUCUUCGACUACACGGCGAGAAAUCGCUAGGUCGAUUGAGCAGAAAAAAUACAAGAAAAGGAAGCACUGGAUAAACGAGGCAGCAGAGCAGAUUGGUUACGCUAUUCAGCGCCGGCCAAAAACAGGCGGCUGGAACAGCUAUCUCUGCUGGGGAAAAUUUAUUUGGAGUUCGCAGCAGCUUGGAGCAGAGAAAAACCCACAAAAAGUGACCCAAAAAUAAACGUGUGAAACACAGUGCAGAUUUAAAAAAAUUAAAAAUUAAAAACCCUUAAAAUCUAGUGACAAAUUAAAAGUUAACGAAGACGAGGAAAUGGGUUAAAACAACUCAUUAAAUACACGACUAGUAAAAAUGUAAAAUCUUAAGAAAAAACCCGACCUCAAAACAGA